rnacentral:lncRNA from 1 species
UUGUUGUAAAAUCGACUGUGGGUGCAGUGGAAUAAAUGAAACAAGACACAAAAUUUACGAGGUUCCUCUACAGUCAGUGUGACUGGAGUACGUUCUCGGGGCAGCAGUGGUGCUUUCAUUAUAAUUUGAAAUAAUAGAAGUACAAAUAUAACUCCUUUUAUUAUCUCCCCCUCAUCUUCCUCUUCUUCCUCUCUUCCUCUUCUUUCUCUCUCUUCUUUCCUCUCUCUCUCUCUCUUCCUUUCUUCCUUUUCCUUCUUCUCUCCCGUGAACCCCUUUCUUCCUCUUCCUCUCAUUCAUUUUAUAAUCAAAGAGGACACUAUUCACCUUACAAAUUUUCCACAAAUGAAUAGUGAAAAUAAUGUGAAUAAAUAGUAACAAACUAUUCAUGUGGGCCAUCCACAUAAUAUUUACAAAACUCCCCCUUGGAUGGCCACAAAUCUUCGACUGACUCGUUAAAAUCUUGAUCUAUUUUAAAUGCUCCUCCUGAUGAGUAUCUCCUCCUGAUUUCAAAUCAUUUAGGUUGAUCGUUGAUCGUUCUACUUUAGUCUCUUAGUAAGAAGAGUUGCUGAAAGAAUUGUUUUACUUGUUGUUAACUUUCCACAGGCUUUUUCUUGAACUGGGUUGUAGGAAUUUCUGCUAGACUUGCAUCCAAAGGUCUCAAUUUACUCCUUUGAUCUGGAGCAGAUUUGAUUCAAGUAUGGUGGACACUUGAUCUUGAAUCGGACUUGUAAUUUCUUUAAGGACCUUCGAAGCUGGAUCUUGAAUGAAAUUGGACCAUGAGGAGCUUCAUGUGGCAAGUGAUCUUCAGUUUUGUCAGGGAUGAAUCAGCACGCGUUCAUUGCGCUUGUCUCCACAUGCUUCAAUGUAUCAUUUUCACUUUCCUUACUUGCUCCCCUGGAUUCAGUAGUAUUUCCUUGGUUUUCCCCCAUGCAUGUGUGGCAUCUUCUCUUGUAGGAUUUGUCCCCUGAUGCAGGAGUGGAAUGCAAACCCUUGCAUUUGAAUGGUUCAUCACUUCUUGGUGACUGGGGACCCCGCUCCAACAACAGUUGAAGAUGACUACUCGAGAGCAAUACUAGGUAAGCAAUCGGGAAAGGUUCCAGGCAGUCGGUUCCUUACCGGGAGUUUGAGUGGAGGUUCCGACAUAUUGCUUUCUUUAUCCUUGUCUUUGCAGGCAAGAACAUGGACAAAGGAAAGGACAAGGAGAUUGCAUGAUAUGAGAUAAUCUUGCUCUGGUCCCUGAAGAUAUGUGAUAAUCUUGCUCUGGUGUGACAUGUUUGAAGAGGUAUUCUCGGAGAGGAAGAAAACUGAGUAUUUCGAGAUGCUAUGUUGAAGAUGCAUUCUCGGAGAUGAGGAAGAGUUAGGUAUUCUUGCAGUGUUGCGGGUCUGCCUUGUUAUGAAGAACAGAGGUCGACAUAUAUAGAGAUUUCCCAAUAGCAAGUGGUGGUGCUGUGCUUUUACUCUUGUCAGCAACUGUGGUGUAAAUAGAACAGUAAGAUUUACGCGGUUUCAACUUUGUCAGAGAUCUUUGACAAAAUUGCACGCGACAUCUGAAAAGCUGGGAUUACGUCUGAAAAAUGACAACGAACUUUAUUCAGGAAAAUCUGGCUUUUUGAAAUUCGGAGAGCCGUGUCGCUUUGAUCUUUGAACAAGCGGCUCUGUUGCCUCUUCUUUUAUAGAGACAUCAAUUGUGUUCAAGAGUAUGCUCAGAAAGUUGCUGCUUGAGAAAUUUCCACCUUCUUGCACUUCUGAAAUUUUAUUUGACCUCUAUUUUUCCUUCAUCAUUUCUGAAAAAAAUGACUUGCCCAUCUAACAUUUGCUUAGAUUUGAGUCUUAGGAGUGAUACAGACGAGCAGCGUCAUGAUAAUAUAUGGCGCCCGUCCUUCUUAUCUUCGAAUGGUCCUCUUACGGUUGGGGACUCUGUGAUGAAGAAUAACAUAACCGCUAUUGUGGUAGCUAGGAAUCUUCUCACUCCAAGGGAUAACAAGAUCCUUUCAGAACGGUCUGAAGAGUCGGCCGUUCAAGACUCCUUGGCUCUCAGUGUUCAGUGUGCUGGCUCUGUGUCCAAUAUGGGCCAACGCCUACUUGCUCAAACUCGCCAAGUUGAAUUAUUGAUGGCGGAGGUGGCAAGUCUUAAACAAGAGAUCAGAGGGCUCAAACACGAGAAUAGGGUGUUACACGUGCUUGCAAAUAGUUACUCUACGAGCAUGAAAAGAAAGCUCGUCCAACUGCAGGAAUCCGAAAGUUGGAUUCAAAGUGAUCACCAGAGGUUCGUUGCUAGAUUCCGAAAGCAACUGAUGCCUUCCCCUUCUGGUGUUUUGCUAAGUACUGGGGUGCCACAUGAUCAAUCUCCAGUGCCUCCCCCUUCUGGGGUAUUUCCGAGUACUGAGGCUUCACAUGAGCAACCUUUGUGAAGGCUCCAUCCUGUUUGUUUGUUUUAACUCAUGUGUAUGUAUAUAUCUGUAAUUUCUUGGAGAUAUUAAUAAAUAAGCUUUAUUUCAUUCAAUGUAUUGUGCCAAAUACAAUAAAGCAUAUACUUUACUAAGAUGUGGUACUUCUGGACCAAAUAUUAAUUUAUCUUUACCCUCACGAAGAUAAAUGAUUAUUCUUAGUGUCUUUAUCAUAUGAGUAUUCAACUCAUAAUCUUCAAUCCAUAUGGUUCUUUUAAUAUCAUAAAUAUCAUGGAUAAGAUUCGUGUUGGUAGAUUGUUCGAUCUGCAGCUCGAAACAAUAAUUCCUUCAACACUUUAUAAUUUUUCUAGACUCUUCAGGAGUCCCAAUUUAAUAUCAUCAACUCUUCAAGAGUUAUAAUUUAAUGUCAUUGACUCUUGCAAGAGAUUUUAGUAUGUUGCAACAAUAUCAUAAUGAUAGUACUCACUAAGGCAAUUUAUAUCAUCCAUUGAUAUUGAGUAUAUAUUUUAUGCUUUACCCUUCAGGGGCUUACUUCAAGCAAUUUGAAUCCUUCAAGGAUUUUCUACACUUCAUGACACAUUUUCCUUUGGAAUUUAUACAGAGCAAUUUGCUCCCAUGUAUACUUGAGGGAUUUACUUAUGGAGAUAUGAUGUGGGCGACUCACAACCCUUCGUAUAUAAUUCUCCAUUUAUAUGAACUAGUUUACAAGAGUAUAAUUUCAGGUUUCAAUUAGUAACCUUGUGUCAUAUUAUGUGAGUGUAUUACAAAUGCCGAUAUGUAACCUCCUUGAUUUAACAUCUUUUGGCUAUUUGUAUUGUAUUCAAAUAUAUAUAGGUUCAUUUGUCCACGUUCUUACAAAAUUGUAAUGGAAUUGCCUUUCUCCAUUUUGGCCAAUAAUUUUUCUUUUGUCGACGAACAAAAGAACGUGACUCAAUAUUAACACAUCUCAUUGAUGAAUUUAGUAGCUACUUGUAAAAACCAAAAUUACCAUUGGUUAUCAUCAAUCCGUGAUCCCAUAUUCUCAUGUGCAUGCGCAUGCAUACAAACUUUUCAUUUCUUUGGAUAUCCAUUGCCUCUUCAAGGGCAUGACGCUAUCUCUUCCAGGAUAGUCAUAAUUUAGAGAAUGUGGAUCAUAACCUCUUCUUGAGCGUUAUAGAGCUUGGAUUUUAAUCUCCACUUCCAAGAGUUGAGUCAUUUAGAACCUAUACGUCAAUCAUGCUUCAUGCAUGAGACAUCAAUAUUCCCAUGUCUGUGGAUUGUCAUAUCUGGGACGUGUAUCCAUGCGACGACUGUCAUGAUUCUGGCAUGCAACAGUUAUGCUUCGGGAAUGCAAUAGUUCAGGAGUGCCAUAUUAUUAUUCUUUCGAAUAACUGAACCUUUUGAGUCUAAAAAUCUACCACGCUUCAGGCGUGCAACAGAUAAAUCAUUUACUGUCUCAUUAUUUUUGUCCAACAGGGACAUCAAUUCUUGUAGGCACAUUUGCAGUAAGUAUAUGUGAUUUCAUCACUUUCGUUGCAUCAUUCAAUUAUUCAUAUUUCAUUUUCAUAUUGAUUACUUCGUGAAUCAAAAUAAAACAAAUUCUCUUCGUUCUUCUGGAACGGUCUUUUCUUAUCAUUCUUCUGGAAUGAUAUUUUCUCAUCGUUCUUCUGGAACAAUGUUAUUUCUCCCCCUAAUGACGGGAAAACUGUCUUAUCAAAAUCAUAGUCCGCAAAUCAUGCGGUAGACAUAUCCCCAGUCAAGGGUUCCAAAUAUUGAAUGAUAGAUGGUGUUCAACAUCAAUGCCUAAUCUACGAUGAUGCCUCAUUUCAGUACGUUGUGGCAGUCGUACAGGCACAUAGACAACACAACCAAAAACUCGUGAAAGUAUAAUGCUUGGCUGGUUCCCAAACACGAGUUGUACUGAGAAGUAUUGAUGGUUGGUAACAUGUCUCAAUCGAAUUAAUAAUGCAUCAUGUAAAGUUUACAUGUUCCCAUGUAGAAAAUUGGCAAUUUCGUUUUCAUGAGCAGAGCGUUGGUAAUUGAUUUCACCCACUUAAUAAAUGCUUCUGCUAAACCAUUUUAAGUAUGGACAUAAGGAACUUCUGGUCCUUAUUAAAUAGUUUAUGAACUGAAACUUUUAUGACCUUUAUUAUAAUUAAGUUGAGGCACUGUGGCACUUCAAACUUAAGGCACUCAUCAAGGAAUUUCAUGUCCUGAUCGUCAGGAUCAAAGGACUUCAUGCCUGAUCUUUUUGUAUGAUGGAACUUCGGGUCCAAUCAUUUUAUAUGAUGAGGAUCAAGAAACUGCAGGUUCUGAUCUAAUCAAGGAACUCUGGGUCCUUGUUAUACUCAUUGUAAUAAAAGAUAAGUACAAUAAAUAAAUUAAAGCAAUAGACGGUAAUUCCAGCCAUAAUGAAUAAACAUCAUUUAAGUAAAUAAAGCUUAUGACAAGGGCUUUAAUUCAGCACCAUCAAAACUUAAAGCAAUAGGCGGUAAAACCGUCCAUGGUAAAUAAAUUGCUUUAAAGUAAAUAAAGCUUGUGACAAGGGCUUUGAUUCAGCACCAUUCAUAUAAAUAUCAAAGCUUUAAAACAAAGGGUAAUAAUUCUACCCACUGUAAAUAAAUUGCUUUAAAUAAGUAGAACUUGUGACAUGGGCUUUAAACCAACAUCAUGCACAUAAAUAUGCCAAAACAGAAAAUGCAAUGAUUAAGUCCUCAUGUUUUGCUUUUUCAUUUUCUUGGUCUGCCACUUCUUUUGUUUCAUCCCUUUUAUUUUUAUCAUUAUUUCACAGUUCGAAGUCAUUUUUGGUUACUCAGUAAAUAAUAGUAACAAUAAGUUCCAAUUGGGGUUCCUCCUCCGGUGAGUUUUGAAAAAGUCGAAACGGUUCCCAUAAGUUUUGGAGUCAAGAGUGUCUGCAACUUAUGAGAAGAUCAAACCGUUAGAUUUAGUUCAAAAUUUAGUAUGAUAUGGAUAAGAGGAUACCAAACAACUUUCGUGAAGAAACAAUUUCGAUUUGAGCUACCGAAAUGGAGUUUUGGUACUCAUAAGGUGGCUGCCCAGUUUUCUGCGGAAAUUGGAAACUGGUUUGGUAUUUCAGACAUCUGCGACGAUCGCACCGUUAACAUUUUCUGAAAUUUUGAUAUGUUGUAGAUACUGAGCAGACGAACAACUUUCAAGAAGAAAGUAUUUCAAUCCGAGGUCCGCAAGUUGGAGUUCCGAGGCUAUUUACAUGGCUGUCAAAUUCUCUUACAAAUUUUUAGUCUUUUACUCUUUUGCUUCUGCAAAGGAUGAUAUACAGUCAUAUAACAAUAUAUAUAGUUGCUUCAAGAAAAUCAAUUGUACUGAGAUUUGAAGAUGAAAUGAAAAUUGUUUCUUAUCUGUGAGAUUCCAGCUGAAGGAGGUGAACAGGAUUUGUGGCGUUGUGCUUUCCACUGACAUGAGAGCUUCUCGUGCUGAUAACGUGUUGUAAAAUCGACUGUGGGUGCAGUGGAAUAAAUGAAACUAGACACAAAAUUUACGAGGUUCCUCUACAGUCAGUGUGACUGGAGUACGUCCUCGGGGCAGCAGUGGUGCUUUCAUUAUAAUUUGAAAUAAUAGAAGUACAAAUAUAACUCCUUUUAUUAUCUCCCCCUCAUCUUCCUCUUCUUCCUCUCUUCCUCUUCUUUCUCUCUCUUCUUUCCUCUCUCUCUCUCUUCCUUUCUUCCUUUUCCUUCUUCUCUCCCGUGAACCCCUUUCUUCCUCUUCCUCUCAUUCAUUUUAUAAUCAAAGAGGACACUAUUCACCUUACAAAUUUUCCACAAAUGAAUAGUGAAAAUAAUGUGAAUAAAUAGUAACAAACUAUUCAUGUGGGCCAUCCACAUAAUAUUUACAACAUUUUUCACUAAACAGGUAAUAAGAUAUGUUUUUAAUGUCCAUUUAUUAUGUGGAUAGGAUAAAGUACGAUACCGUCACAUGCGGUCCCGAAUAAGAUAUGUUUUUAAUGUCCAUUUAUUAUGUGGAUAGGAUAAAGUACGAUACCACCACACGCAGUCCCGAAUUGCAUAAAAACGAGGAUUAAAUUGCUAUCAAUGUGUGAUUAAUUACCUUCUAUCUUAAAAAAAAAAAAAAAAAAAAAAACAAACAGACGAACACUGGCAUCUUUUGUGUUUAAGAUGACCUUCAUAGUUGGAAUAAGUUUUCACCAGAAUGGUUGUUUAACACUCUGACAUCUGAUGUAAACGUUUCAAUUCAAAUUUAAUCAAAGUGUUUAACACUCUGACAUUGAGCUUGAAACAAACACUGACAUCUUUUGUUUAACACUCUGACAUCUGAUAUAAAUAAAUAAAUUCAAAGACAAUUUCCGAAGUAACAUAAACUUUCAUCCAUUUUCGCAAUCCAAUAUCUUGGGCCUUGGGGUUGGGCUUGGUUCAAGCUCAAUGUCGAAUCCCAUUUUCAUCCCUGCCCCAUUUUGUAUUGACCAAUAAGUCCCUGUCA